rnacentral:rRNA from 1 species
GGGAGUGAAAUAGAACCUGAAACCCUGCACUUACAAGCUGUGGAAGCACAUUUCUUGUGUGACCGCGUACUUUUUGUAGAACGGGCCAACGAGUUACGUUAAGUAGCAAGGUUAAGCACUUAAGGUGCGGAGCCGUAGCGAAAGCGAGUUUUAACUGAGCGUUCAGUUACUUGACGUAGACCCGAAACCGGGCGACCUACCCAUGAGCAGGAUGAAGCGAAAGUAAAAUUUCGUGGAGGUCCGAACCCACGAGCGUUGAAAAGCUCGGGGAUGACUUGUGGGUAGCGGUGAAAUUCCAAUCGAGCCCGGAGAUAGCUGGUUCUCCCCGAAAUAGCUUUAGGGCUAGCCUCAAGGUGAGAGAUACGGAGGUAGAGCACUGAAUGUCCUAGGGGGUAUUGCACCUACCGAAGACUAUCAAACUCCGAAUGCCGUCAUCUUAUACUUGGGAGUCAGACUGUGGGUGAUAAGAUUCAUAGUCGAAAGGGCAACAGCCCAGAUCGUCAGCUAAGGUCCCUAAAUGUAAGUUAAGUGGUAAAGGAUGUGGGAUUGCACAGACAACCAGGAUGUUGGCUUAGAAGCAGCCACUCAUUCAAAGAGUGCGUAAUAGC